AUUUCGUCUAAGGCAAAGGAAAGGUUUUUUUACUGUAAGAACAAUAAGGAUGUGGAAUUAUCUGCCUGAAGAAGUGGUUUUAUCAGAGUCCAGACAGAUGUUCAAACAACUACAUGCAUACUUGCAAAAACAGAAUCUUCAAGGAUAUAAUAUUUCAAUGUAGGUAAUAACUGCUUGAUCCAAGGAUAAAUCUGACUGCCAUUCUGGGGUCAAGAAG